UUUUUGUUUUUUUUUUGUUUUUUUUUUUUUUGAGCUGGGGACCGAACCCAGGGCCUUGCGCUUCCUAGGUAAGUGCUCUACCACUGAGCUAAAUCCCCAGCCCCUUGCCAUCUUCUUAAAACACCAUGCUCAUCUUCCCCACUAAGCUCUAGGCUCAUUCCCUGCCUCAGUCAUCCCAUGACUGGGUCACCUCAACACUCUGGGCCACAGUCUGCUUCUUUUCAUACCAGGAAGUUAUAAGCGUGUCAAAGGCCAAGAAUUCCCUUGUCUCCCAGCUGGGGCAUGGUCAACUGAACUCACUUGGACUUGUUACUUCCAAACUGGUGUUCGUAAUGUGUGCUGUGUAUGGGAAUGAUGGCUGUUUGAGUUCACUGAGGUGCUGUCUCCAGAACGAUGGGCCGUUGCUCCCCUAUCCUCCCCCCUAGUGCACUGCAACUUUCAAACCCAAGCAUGUUUGAAACAACAAAGUGUCCUCCAUGGCUCCUUAUUUGGGAAUAGGCUGGCCUGCGGACUCUGUGAGAACAAAGCAAGAGAACGCCAGAACAGAGUCAAAACAUCGUAUCCAUGAGAACAGCUAGGUCAGCCGUUUCCAACAGAGGUCACACUGUUUAUCCCAAGAUAGAAAAAAAUGUCUACAGUGGGCAAGAGAUAAAGACUCUGGAAGCUCAGCCGUGGGAAGCUCAAUGUGGAGAGAAGGCUCAGUUGGGAACCCCCUGCUACCUGCCUCAACUUCCCCAGUGGGUUUCUGGUAGAUGUUGAGAGUGAGCGGUUGGACGGCAUCGUUGCUGUGUGUUGCUAUUUGUUCUUCUUGGAAACCUUACCAGACAGGACGCUUUGCUUUGACCGAGCCUUUGUUCAUCAGACAUUCUGGCCGGCACCCCCAGUUGAUUUUUGCUAGAUGUUUUGAUCACCCCAUCCAAUGAUAUUUAAAUACCCGGCUGUCUCUUGCUAUUUCCUCUUUUACUUUGGCUUACCAUGUUCUUAGUGAACUAGGUCGUUCAAAAACAGAAAGAACGGCUGUCGUAAAUCAUUCUCUGGCCCAUACAAAACGGUGUCAAGGAGGAAGGGUACCCUUGCCUCUCCCCAGCAGAGCCUCAAAGGUAAUUUUUAAAAGUAAUAGGAAUAGAAAAGUAAGCCGGGGAAAGUGAGAGAUGGUGAUGGGUGAGCGGACAUCCUUCGAACCGGCCCUCCCUCUAGCACAAUCAGUUCUUUCUAGAACCAGGGGAGGAAGAACGGUGGGUGCUGCCGCUUUUCCAAGCCCCACAAGCCCCACAGCAUUGUUCGUUGCUCAUAAAGUGUCUUUAUGUCACCCUCUUUCUUUCCCCUGAGGUAUUUGGCCUGAGCAACUUCACAGAUAAGCUUUGAAAAGUGAAACCAGUUUCCACUCUUGCAGCGGCAGCCCUAGGGGUCCUUCGGGCAUUAUCACCAGCCAUCUAAGUUGGUAAUACAUACCCGGGGCUGAACAAAGCAUGGGGGGGUAGUGCUCCCUUGGGGCCAGGGAGGUUUUAUGGGAUCCCUUGACUAAUUAAAAUUCACUCUCUCAGACAGCUGUGAUCUUUACUGUCUUGUGCACCUGAAAACUACAUCAUGACAUUUAAGCCAUGCUCGCUAGCUGAGAUGGCCCCAGCAGCAGCCACAAAUCCCAGGCAGAAUGGAAAUGCUAAAUUCCGUGUUUGGGGCUUGAUUUGAAGGGCAAGAACACUCAGAUUCAUGAGGCUGAACUUCUAGCAACGGUUAACCUUGACUGCCAACUUGAUUGGGUCUGAAACUAAUUAAACAACAUGCCUAAGAGCAGAUUAGUGAGACGAUUUCAAGGAUGCUUUAACGGAAGGGACUCUCCCAUGUGUAUGUAGGACCUUCAGCCCAGAGGUAAAGGAGUCCUAGGAAAAAGCAGUGCUCCACCUACCCACCUUUACUUUCUGUUGAUGGCCAGAGGAGAAGGCAGACACUUGGCAGAAAAAAGUCAUCAGGGUUUGCUGCACAAGUGUGAGGACUUGAGUUCGAACCUCAACACCUGCAUGAAAGCUGGCCCCAGCGAUGAGCACCUGUCAUUCCAACCCUGGGGAGGCGGAGACAGCAAGUGCAGCUGAUGUCCACACCUGCUGGGGCCAUGUGUGAAUGGAGACACCUACUACAGAGGAGUGGGAGGCUCUCAACAGGGUCAGGCAACAACAGCUCCCCAGGGAAGGCGGUGUGAAGGCAGCCCAGCAUUGACCAUCUUAAGGAAGAGAGCCCGUUCCGGUCAGUGAGGUGGCCCAGCAGGUAAAAGUGCUUGCCAUCAAAUCUGGGACCCAUGUGAUAGAAGAAGAAAACUGACUCCAGAAAGUUGUCCUCUGACCAUGGUAUAAAUGCACAUGCACACACUGGAAGACACACACACACAAACACACACACAAACACACACACACACACACACACACACACACACAGAGGGGGGACGGGAGUGGAGUGGAAGGGGGAGAGAGAGAGAGAGAGAAUAGUGUAAUAAAAAAUAUUUAAUUCCGGAAACAGUGUUAGGCAGAUCUGGGUUCAAGGCUAGCUUACUCUACAUAUCAAGUUCCAGACCAGCCAGGGCUACAGAGUGAUAUCCUGUUGAAAAAUUAAAGAGGAGGGGGGAUAAGGAGAAAAGAAAACAAAAAGUAUUAAGAGAACACAUAUAACUAAUUUAUUAUUAGUUAUAAUAUUAUAAUUAAUUAUAAUUAAUUAUGUUAUAUUAAUUUAUUUAUUAACAUUAUAAUGAAUAAUUUAUUAAAUUUAUUAGAUAUUAGUUAUAAUAUUAUAAAAAUGUCUUAUAACUAGUAUUAUUUUAACUGUUCUACUUUAUUAAUAUUGCUAACCCAUGCCUAAUUUACAAAAUAAACCUGAUAUAAGCUAUGCACAUGGACACCAUGGUACAUCGACGAACACCACCGGUGUAGCAACCACUGGAUCCGGAGAUGUGGACAUGUCUCCCUCAGAUAAAGAAAGAAACCACUGCACUUCUGCUUAACUCGGACACUCUGAGCAGCUGACUGCUGAGGCCGUGGGCUGGGUCUGUGGCGCCAGCCCAGGCUGCCCCUUUCCCUCCUCUGUUGUUGUGUUUGAGGUGGGGCUGAGGUCGCUGGACUGGGAGCUGCAGAAACCCCCCAACGACACAGUUGCUAGCUUAAUUGGAAGCUGCCUGUUAUUUUGCUGCUGUUGUUUCCGUUAGUUGAUUUUUUUUCCACUGUUGUUUCUUUUGAGCAAAGAAAGGUAAUUGAUUUAUACAUAUUGAUCAGAUAUCAAGCAUCUUGCCCAACUGCCGCCUCACUAGGACUCUUUCUCUGUAAAUGUGGGGGUUCUCUUCUCAUAAAACCAGAUCAUUAGAUAACAAUUCCGACUUAGUUUCCGAUUUUAAAAUACUUACGCAAUGGAUUUCUUCCCCUUCUUUGUCUGUCUGGGACCUCCAGGACAAAACUGGAUCAAACUGGAUCCUGGGCCCUGAGCUCAUCCCCGAUGCCUUAGGACUAUGUCCAGCACUGUACUACCAAGCAUGUAGCCAUUUUCAUAAGUUGUCUGUUUCCUGCAUUUCUUUAUGCAAAUACACGGGAAAUCCCACGUAAGAUUCCGACUCCCUACCCUCUCUUCACAGAAAGAUAAAGAUCCUUUGAGGGGGAAGCUAAUGUCCUUCGAAUCAUCAGUAAAACGGUUUCACUUGGGAGCUAGUAGUUUCAGGUUACUCGUGGCCCUCAGCAUCGUCACAGGAUUCAGCAUGGCCUCAGGUGGCUCUACAUGCUAGUCAUACCGAGUGGCCCCUGAGGCAGCAAAACCUGAGGACAUCACCAACGCAGCUGCGCAGAUCGCUUAAGUCCUCAUGGAUCUCAGGUUUCAUCUCUUCCUGAGGCAACCGCAUGGGCCACAGUCACCAACAUGGCCUCCAGUGGCUUCGGGGACCACUGUGGUCCUUCAGGGAGGUCCAAUCCAACAAAGAUGUUUAGGAUCAGGCCAUCCAACUCUAAUUAGCAGCUGUGGGACACUCCCUUGCUGCUGAGCUGCCUAGAGAAGAGGACCAUGGGUCAAACAACUACCCCGUGCCAGCCUGAGCCAUCUGGAACAAACCAGAUACCUUGAGGCAACCCUAACGAAGCUGCACUGACUGCGUGGCCCCUGGAAACACAGCUCAGUCAAAGCUCUGUGAAGCAGUUUGUACCAGACUAUUUCGGUCACAAGCCUGAGUGAACCAUGUCCACUUUGGCCAGGGAGCCACUUCUGUGGUGGAAGGGCCACUGUCACUAGUACUAAGGAGCAAGGGCAUGAUUGAUCCCGGGCUAAGAGAUGAGACACUGGUGGCUGUCCAGGACUAAGGUCUGGAUAUCAAGUCCUGCAGGAAGACUGUAGCUCUAGAAAGGCCGCUUGUCAACUGCCUUUGCCUUCCCACUGCCGCUGCACUUCAACCAAGCACUAAACAACAAGAAAGCUGCGAGAGACUUUGUUUGUUCGUUCCUCUGUUUGUGAGUGAGAGGAUCUCCUGUAUCCCAGGCUAGCCUCAAACUGAAAAUAACCUUAAACUUCUGAAACUGCCUUUCCUUUCCAAGUACUGGGUUGUAAGUGUGCACCACCCACUGUGGAUUUAUAUGACCCUGGGAUCAAACUUAGGACCCUAAGUAGAAAGCCCCCUACCAAAUGAGCUACAUCCUCCAUCCCCAAACCGACUUUUAUAGAGUUUCUUGCCUACCCACUUGUAGCUAGAUAGAACAAAAAUCCUCCAGCCAGCUUACUGGUGUCAUGGGGACAGUUGCUUGGUCACCCAGUGCCUACCUUGGAGACACAAACAUCAUAAUUCAUCAAAAAAAAAAAAAAAAAAAAAACCACUUGGGGCUGGGGAUUUAGCUCAGUGGUAGAGCGCUUACCUAGGAAGCGCAAGGCCCUGGGUUCGGUCCCCAGCUCCGAAAAAAAGAACCAAAAAAAAAACAAAAAAAAAAAAAACACUUGCACACAGAAGUGUGGUGGCACAUGCCUUUAAUCCCAACACUCCAGAAACUGAAUCAAGUGGAUCUCUGUAAAUUCAAGGAUAGCCUGAUCUAUAAGCAAGAUCAAGGCCAGCCAAGACUACACAGUGGAACUCUGGGUCUUAGUCUUCUAUUGCCCUAAAGAGACACUAUGACCCAGGCAACUUAUAAAAGGAAGAAUUGGUUGGGGCUUACCAACCAAUCCAGUCCAGAGGAUUGGUACAUGGCCAUCAUGGCAGGAAGCACGGCAGCAGGCAGACAGGCAGGCAUGAUGCUAGAGCAAUAGCUGAGAGCUUACAUCUCACCUCUAAACAUGUGUCGGAGAAAGCACAACGAAAAUGGUGUGGUCUUUUGAAACUUCAAAGUUUCAAAACUUUGGAUGGGCCACUCUCAUCCAAACCACCACACCCUGUCUCAGAAAAAAACGAAAACAAAAACUUGCCCAAUUGAAUGGUUUCACAGCCUGAUUUGCCUACUAUCUUUUCCUUACCCGGACCUAAUGUGAAGCUGAAGAAAGGUAUUUAUUUAGUUUGCAGGUGGGGUAGCAUCUUUCAUUGUGUCCAUUCAAGGUUUAAUGACAGAUUAUUAGAACAAAGAAUAUUUUGCUCCUUGAGGAGAUGACAUCAGCUUUUAUGCAGGCCAGAGUGGCAAGCUUGGGAAAGGAUAUGAAAUUGCCCUUUAGAAUGGGCUUUAUGAGGGGAGCCUACUACCAGAGUCAGAGUGAUGAUUGACACUUUAGAUGGAAGAGCAUUAAGAAAUACAGCAACAUGCCAGAGGGCCGGAGAUAGCCUUGAAGAAAGAAAGAGAGGCUUCUGUUCAAAAGCUGGAGGAGGGCUGAAGAUACCAUAGUUAGGAAAUAGCAAGGAGGUGUGGCCUGAUUUCUGGGAGAGGAUGAGGUGCCUAGCGGGGCUGGGAUCUAACACUUUGACACUAAAACAUGUUCUACUCUUGUUGAUUCUUUCCUGUGUUCAAGAAAAACAUGGUUUUGAGACUACUUCUUCAAGAUCUCUGGCCCCACAUUCCCGAGAUCCCAACCAUCCCUGCCUUCACGGCCGUGUUGGUCAGACUCCAUACAAUGCAUCUUCAUUUUCUGAGCCACAAUCCAAGUACCCAAGCCUUUCCAUCAAUCCUGGUCAUGGGAUUCUUCCAAGCAUUCCUGAGGGCCCAGUUCCAUACACCAUGUUUCCGGUACCACUGGACUAGAAAGAGCAGACUCAAGUUUGCUGACUGGAAACAGCAAGAACUUGCUGGAAAAGCACGCUGUGAACUUGGACUUAACUUUUACAUCUUUAUCUGUUUGAGAUCCUCUGGGCUCCCUCCCUCGCCCACCCUGAAACCCUAGUGAUCCUUGGAUAAAGAGUCCUCACUAGAAAACUAUUGGGCAGUGAUUAAACUGAUAUCUUUAGGCUUCAGGGAGUCACCAACAUCUUCCCAAGUUCCCUAAAUAAAAAGAUCAAACGUUGACUCAAA